CCUACGGGAGGCAGCAGUGAGGAAUAUUGGUCAAUGGGCGGAAGCCUGAACCAGCCAAGUAGCGUGCAGGAUGACGGCCCUACGGGUUGUAAACUGCUUUUAUACGGGAAUAACGCGCCUUACGUGUAGGGCUUUGCAUGUACCGUAUGAAUAAGGACCGGCUAAUUCCGUGCCAGCAGCCGCGGUAAUACGGAAGGUCCGGGCGUUAUCCGGAUUUAUUGGGUUUAACGGGUGCGUAGGCCGCAUGUUAAGCUUGCUGUGAAAUGUCCGGGCUCAACCCGGGCCCUGCAGUGCGAACUGGCGUGCUUGAGACCGCGGAAAGCAGGCGGAAUUCG
rnacentral:rRNA from 1 species